rnacentral:rRNA from 1 species
CGCGGCCUAUCAGCUUGUUGGUGAGGUAAUGGCUCACCAAGGCGACGACGGGUAGCCGGCCUGAGAGGGCGACCGGCCACACUGGGACUGAGACACGGCCCAGACUCCUACGGGAGGCAGCAGUGGGGAAUAUUGCACAAUGGGCGAAAGCCUGAUGCAGCGACGCCGCGUGAGGGAUGACGGCCUUCGGGUUGUAAACCUCUUUCAGCUCCGAAGAAGCGAAAGUGACGGUAGGAGCAGAAGAAGCACCGGCUAACUACGUGCCAGCAGCCGCGGUAAUACGUAGGGUGCAAGCGUUGUCCGGAAUUAUUGGGCGUAAAGAGCUCGUAGGUGGUUCGUCGCGUCUGCUGUGAAAGUCCGAGGCUUAACCUCGGAUCUGCAGUGGGUACGGGCGGACUAGAGUGCGGUAGAGGAGAUCGGAAUUCCUGGUGUAGCGGUGGAAUGCGCAGAUAUCAGGAGGAACACCGGUGGCGAAGGCAGGUCUCUGGGCAUUAACUGACGCUGAGGAGCGAAAGCAUGGGGAGCGAACAGGAUUAGAUACCCUGGUAGUCCAUGCCGUAAACGUUGGGCACUAGGUGUGGGGGACAUUCCACGUUUUCCGUACCGUAGCUAACGCAUUAAGUGCCCCGCCUGGGGAGUACGG